rnacentral:pre_miRNA from 1 species
CGGGGGAGGCCGGAUCCUGGGCUGUGUCCCGGCGCCCUGUGCUCUGGGGCCUGCGCUAUUGGAUUCGCGCUCCCGCCCCCCUCUGCGGAGCCGCCG